rnacentral:tRNA from 3 species
GCCGACGUAGCUCAAUCGGCAGAGCAACCGCUUUGUAAGCGGUGGGUUGCCGGUUCGACUCCGGCCGUCGGCU